rnacentral:lncRNA from 10 species
UCCCAGCCUCCUUGGUUUCUCUUUUACUUGAAUAGCACAUUCCUCCCUAGGGCCUUUGUAUUUGCUGUUUCCUUGGUCCAGAAGGGUCUCCCUCAGUCAUGCACUUGGCUCCCUCUCAUUUCAUUGAGGACCGUGCUCCAACUUCUCCUUCUUGGGGUCUCUCUGGCUCUCCCAGAUAGCUUGUCCCUCCUGUAAGAAUAUUUAUCUGUCUGUGUGCAUAUCGUCUAUCUCCUUCAUUAGGAUGUAAGCACAGGAGGCACAGGAAGUCGUCUAUUUUAGUCAUCACUGUAUCCGUAGCACUGCAAAUGGUUCCUAGCACAUAGUUGGCACUUAAUAAAUAUUUGCUGGAAAAAUGCUUUGAUUUGUGGGGCAGAGUCAUACUUGCUGGUCUACCCAAUGUCUCCAGCACAAGCUCGUUUCACAUGCCUGCAGGUAUCAUUUGCAUUGAUUAUAUCUCCUGGUUGUGUGUGUGUGUGUGUGCAUGUAUGUGUGUGCAUUUGCAUAAGAAUUGCUUAGUAAAAGUGCUACUUUUACUUGAUUUUUGAAAAUUGCAAAAUAGCCAUGACUACAAGGUGAGGAGCCCAUUUGGCCAGCAAACAGAGGGAAACUUGAGAACUUCAGGCCUUGCAGGUUUCCCCUAGUGCCCAGUGAGGUGGGCCGCCAUACCUCUCUGUGGUCUCAGCCUGGCUACAACAGAAGGGAGAUGCUGCCUGUGAUGUGUCUUGUCUCUAGGCAGUGUUGAGGACGGGUCUCAGAGAGGGGCUCCACCAGAGCUGGUGGUGAUGGGAAUAAUAACAUAUGGACCCAGAUCACCCACCCCCUCAUGGCAGCUGGGCCUUGUGGCUUCAGCCACAUGGGCUUGGGGAGUUGUUUGAUUGCAUGUGUGUUUGGUUUCCCUAUUUACAAGGAGCAGUUAAAGGUCAUGAAGAGACCUCAAGACCUCUGAGUUCUCUUCACUUGGUUUCCUCUUUCUUUCCCAGGGGGUACAGUCCAUGCUGUGUGAAAUACCCACAAGACC